AAUAUUCGCUUUUCGAAUUUUCAGUUUGUCGUUACAUCUAAAGAGAGAGAGAGAGAGAGCAUUGCAUCUAAAGUCAUUACAUCUAAGAGAAGAGCUGUUAUAAUACUAUUUCCAGUUUGUCAUUACAUCUAGAGAGAGAGAGAGAGAGCAUUACAUCUAAGAGAGCAUUGCAUCUAAGUCAUUACAUCUAAGAGCUGUUAUAUAAUACCAUUUUUAUGAAAGGCAAAUUUACUAGAGCUACAUUGCGUUUUUUAAUGUCGAAUGAGCUGGCUGUGCAGUAUUCCUGGUCUGGUCAAAGAAGAACUAUUCAAUUUAAAAGUACCCUAAUUUCUCAACUUAUUGUCGAAACCGUUUCAAAAGUGAAAAAUGCAUCUAGAAGCGACAUAGAAAUAUUUAUAAAGAAGUGGCUGCAGCACGCUAGCGACCGAAUAAAAAAUAAGAAAUAAAUUUUCAUAAUUCCAUAAUAUAUACAUAUCUACUUUAGGCCUGAUUGAACCAACGUUAUUUUUAAGCGUUAUUUUAAGCUUUAAACGAGACUUUAAUGUAUUUUUAUUUAGAAAGAAAGAGGAAGAUUGAUACAUUAUAUAUAUUUAAUAUUAUAUAUUUAAGUCUCUUGUACGUAUGUAUGUGAACGUAUGAGAUACGAAUAUAUUUGGUGUAUAAUUUACGUCACCGCGCGAAAGCGAUUAAUAUAAUAUAUACAGACGA